rnacentral:rRNA from 1 species
UACGUAGGGGGCAAGCGUUGUCCGGAUUUAUUGGGCGUAAAGAGCUCGUAGGCGGUCCGUCACGUCGGAUGUGAAAUUCCAGGGCUCAACCCUGGACCUGCAUUCGAUACGGGCGGACUAGAGUUCGGUAGGGGAGACUGGAAUUCCUGGUGUAGCGGUGAAAUGCGCAGAUAUCAGGAGGAACACCGGUGGCGAAGGCGGUUCUCUGGGCAUGAUCUGACGCUGAGGAGCGAAAGUGUGGGGAGCGAACAGG